rnacentral:rRNA from 1 species
GAUGAACGCUGGCGGCGUGCCUAAUACAUGCAAGUCGAGCGAACAGACGAGGAGCUUGCUCCUCUGACGUUAGCGGCGGACGGGUGAGUAACACGUGGAUAACCUACCUAUAAGACUGGGAUAACUUCGGGAAACCGGAGCUAAUACCGGAUAAUAUAUUGAACCGCAUGGUUCAAUAGUGAAAGACGGUUUUGCUGUCACUUAUAGAUGGAUCCGCGCCGCAUUAGCUAGUUGGUAAGGUAACGGCUUACCAAGGCAACGAUGCGUAGCCGACCUGAGAGGGUGAUCGGCCACACUGGAACUGAGACACGGUCCAGACUCCUACGGGAGGCAGCAGUAGGGAAUCUUGCGCAAUGGGCGAAAGCCUGACGGAGCAACGCCGCGUGAGUGAUGAAGGUCUUCGGAUCGUAAAACUCUGUUAUUAGGGAAGAACAAAUGUGUAAGUAACUAUGCACAUCUUGACGGUACCUAAUCAGAAAGCCACGGCUAACUACGUG